rnacentral:lncRNA from 1 species
UUUCCGUGUGUUUCUAUUGAGCUGCUCAGUGCCCGGCUUAGAAGACCAGGAAAAGGAGUCACAGGUCGUAUGCUGGAGGCUUGAGCCGCGGCACCGUGGCGCGGCUCGCCUCGCUGCGGUUGGUGGUGGCGGUGGACAUUGCAGCGCGGCUGGAGGGGUAGGAAGAAGAAGAUAGUUUUGGGAUAGAUAGAGGCGCACUUUCCACAUGUGGGUUUUUAUUUCUAGUCCUUCACAUUGACCAUAGAAUCGCCUGUGGCUUCCAAACCUGUCGUAAGCAGUUUGUUGUUGCUCUUCUGUAUGUGAUUAAGUGGAUUUACCUUUUGUAUACUCAUAGCUACCAUCUCUGUUUAUCGUUCAUUUAGGGUCCUUAGACAAGGUGCAAGACAAACAGAAGAGGGCAUGUGGGGUCAAACUCGCUAGCUGCCUGCCUGAUUUUUCUGCACACAGGUGAGAUAUUCCUGCACAUCCUCUGGUGACCCCAGAAUGAGGGGGACUCGCUGGUGAAUUGCCUCGGGCUUCACGUCCAGUACAGGCUGGGUCCCCGUGGUCGCCAAGCCUCCUGCCUGCUCAAUGAUGUAGGCCACGGGAUUGCAUUCAUACAGGAGCCGGAGCUGUGGAGGAACAGAGGCAGGACAAAUUCACCAAGAGCCUAGCAACAUGAAGAGAGAUGCCAGGAAGAAGAGAGAAGCCAGGAAACAAGCCAACCGCACAAUCCCCACAUCAGAGCAGGAGAAGAUGGGGGCCUGCUGGCAGAGCUGGGGCUUGGCUGUGGUCACUCUGAACCUGCUCUUUGGUGUUUUCAUGAGUGGUGGGAAGAAUAGGGACCAUAUGGAGCCCACACAGGAAGCUCUAGCAGUAACACAGCAAGCAGGAAGACAAUUCUAAGGAAGCAGCCCAUAGUCUUCUUUCUUUUCCUGUGCAUCUUCCACUGUCAGUGAGGCUCCUCAUUUAUGGUGAACCCAACUGUGUGUAUCUCCCAAGUUCUCACCCGCAGAUUAAUGUUUUCAGGAAGAUAGGCCAUCAACAGUGAGAGGAAGAAGUUACAUUGUCGUAUGAGGGAUGCAUUUUAACCAUUAAUUUGUGGUACAGGCUGGGCGCAGUGGCUUAUGCAUGUAAUCCCAGCACUUUGGGAGGCCGAGGUGGGUGGAUCACGAGGUCAGGAGAUCGAGACCAUCCUGGCUAACAUGGUGAAACCCCGUCUUUACUAAAUAUACAAAAAAUUGGCCGGGCGUGGUGGUGGGCACCUGUAGUCCCAGCUACUCGGGGGGCUGAG